UAAGCAUAUCAAUAAGCGGAGGAAAAGAAACCAACAGGGAUUGCCCCAGUAACGGCGAGUGAAGCGGCAACAGCUCAGAUUUGGAAUCUGGCCCCCAGGGCCCGAGUUGUAAUCUGGAGAGGAUGCUUCUGGCGCGGCGCCUUCCGAGUUCCCUGGAACGGGACGCCGGAGAGGGUGAGAGCCCCGUACGGUUGGACGCCUAGCCUUUGUGAAGCUCCUUCGACGAGUCGAGUAGUUUGGGAAUGCUGCUCAAAAUGGGAGGUAAAUUUCUUCUAAAGCUAAAUACCGGCCAGAGACCGAUAGCGCACAAGUAGAGUGAUCGAAAGAUGAAAAGCACUUUGAAAAGAGGGUCAAACAGUACGUGAAAUUGUUGAAAGGGAAGCGCCCGUGGCCAGACUUGUGCCCCGCGGACCACCCGGCGCCCUCAGCGCCGGUGCACUCCGCGGGGCGCAGGCCAGCAUCGGUUUUCCUAGGGGGAUAAAGGCGGCGGGAACGUGGCUCCCUCGGGAGUGUUAUAGCCCGCCGCGCCAUGCCCCUGGGGGGACCGAGGACCGCGCUUCGGCAAGGAUGCUGGCGUAAUGGCCACCGGCGACCCGUCUUGAAACACGGACCAAGGAGUCAAGCAUUGGGGCGAGUGUCUGGGUGUUAAACCCGCACGCGAAAUGAAAGUAAACGCAGGUGAGAGCUUCGGCGCAUCAUCGACCGAUCCUGAUGUUCUCGGAUGGAUUUGAGUAAGAGCCUUACCGCUUGGACCCGAAAGAUGGUGAACUAUGCCUGUAUAGGGUGAAGCCAGAGGAAACUCUGGUGGAGGCUCGCAGCGGUUCUGACGUGCAAAUCGAUCGUCAAAUAUGGGCAUGGGGGCGAAAGACUAAUCUA
rnacentral:rRNA from 1 species